UAAUACGGAGGGUGCAAGCGUUAUCCGGAUUCACUGGGUUUAAAGGGUGCGUAGGUGGGCUAGUAAGUCCGUGGUGAAAUCUCCAAGCUUAACUUGGAAACUGCCGUGGAUACUAUUAGUCUUGAAUAUUGUGGAGGUAAGCGGAAUAUGUCAUGUAGCGGUGAAAUGCUUAGAUAUGACAUAGAACACCGAUAGCGAAGGCAGCUUGCUACACAAUCAUUGACACUGAGGCACGAAAGCGUGGGGAUCAAACAGGAUUAGAUACCCUGGUAGUCCACGCCCUAAACGAUGGAUACUCGACAUACGCGAUACACAGUGUGUGUCUGAGCGAAAGCAUUAAGUAUCCCACCUGGGAAGUACGAUCGCAAGAUUG
rnacentral:rRNA from 1 species